GCCAGGCCUCUCCAAACCCGAGGUGCAUGAGUGUCCUUCCCCAGGGAAGGCGUCAUUUCCAGAGCGCCUUUGGCUUCAGGCCUGUGGCUCCGGCAGGAUGCUCAAGGGAAAGGCGAUUUCAGGGAGACCUCCCACUGAGCCCUGAGGAGAGAAGGACACCUUUUCUGGGAGGUCACCCAUCCGUCUGCCAGCUUUGCCAGUGACCCUCAAAUCUUGGAGCCAGGACCUCUCCCUCAGCUCAUUGGUCCAAGCACUGGGAUGCAGUGAUGGAAAUGUCAUUCUUAGAGAGGAAGAUAUUUCCAAAUGAACCACCUGGUAUGAAACUAUCCUACAGGUAAAACCUUUUUACAACCGUAACUUUUUUAUGGCUUAUGUUCUUAUUCAACGGACAUGUUACCCAACUGGUCAUUUGUAAAUAGAAAAACAUUCCCUUCCCCAAACCUGAAGUAGUUCCGUAUGUGUCCACAAUUUAAGAUUUAGAGGAAGAAAUAUGAGUUUGGUAUCAAAGGGUCUGGAUUAAAUAGGGAUUCCUAAACUGGUCCAUACACAGAAUUCAGAAGGUCUUUGAACUUGGGAAAAUGACACCUUUCCUCUACUAUCUAGCUAAAAUUUAGAUCUUCUUCAAUUAAGAAUAUAGACUACAUGCCACAUGAGUAUGCAUUAGCAAGACCUGUGUCUCUGCCACUGGUGGAAGUGACAGAUAUUUUCUUCUUACUUAAAAGUUGUUGCAGACCCUUUAAAUAUCAUUUAUGCUCAUCUUCACUGUGAAAUGAAGGUUGUUGUUAGACCUGGUAUAGAUUGUUUUUAACUGUGUUCAUGAAGAGAUGUGUAUUACUAGUUCACAAAUUUAUCUUAAUAUAGAAUUAUGGUUCAGUGUAAUUGGUUUCCCUUAUAAUCGUAUAUAUUUUAUUCAUUUUAUCCAUUCUAAAACAUUCUGAGAAGGCUUUGUCAGAUUGUCAAAGGAGUAUAUAAGGGAUAAAAAAGGUUAAGGACCUUUGGGUUCUGGCAGGUCUUCAUGGAAAAGAAGAGAAAGAUCAGCUCAUUGCAGCACUGGCUUAUUAUUUAUAACAUAUAAUUAAUAGCAGCAUAAGUAAUUUGAUAGGCUCUUGCCAUAAGUCAGCCACCUGUUACAGAUGAGGAAACCAAAGACCCAGGGAAACUGGUAAGUCUGAACCAUUUGGAGAACAUGUUACUACAAGGCUG
rnacentral:lncRNA from 1 species